rnacentral:rRNA from 1 species
CAGUCGCCGCGGUAAUACGUAGGUGGCAAGCGUUGCCCGGAAUUAUUGGGCGUAAAGCGCGCGCAGGCGGAUAGGUCAGUCUGUCUUAAAAGUUCGGGGCUUAACCCCGUGAUGGGAUGGAAACUGCCAAUCUAGAGUAUCGGAGAGGAAAGUGGAAUUCCUAGUGUAGCGGUGAAAUGCGUAGAUAUUAGGAAGAACACCAGUGGCGAAGGCGACUUUCUGGACGAAAACUGACGCUGGGGCGCGAAAGCCAGGGGAGCGAACGGGAUUAGAUACCCCCGUAGUCCCUGUCUCUUAUACA